UACGAGGGGGGGCGAGCGUUGUUCGGAAUUAUUGGGCGUAAAGGGUGCGUAGGCGGCCUGACAAGUCUGAUGUGAAAUCCCUGGGCUCAACCCAGGGCCUGCAUCGGAAACUGUCGGGCUUGAGUAUGGGAGAGGUGAGUGGAAUUUCCGGUGUAGCGGUGAAAUGCGUAGAUAUCGGAAGGAACACCUGUGGCGAAAGCGGCUCACUGGACCAUUACUGACGCUGAGGCACGAAAGCUAGGGGGAGCAAACAGGG
rnacentral:rRNA from 1 species